UGUGUGCUAUAGCUGAGUGCUCCCGAGCAGUAAGUAGCUCGGCGUGCAGGAUCAUGGUUUCUAGAGGCUGGGACCUCCAGUGGACACUGGUUGCAAGUAGACAUGAAUGAAUGAAUGAAUGAAUGAGCCAGUAAAACCACGGAUUGCUUUUGUUUGCUGAGUGAGGGCCGGAAAUCCACUGAUGGAUUUUGAAGCAAUGACUUCAUUCCAGUUUUACUCAUUGCGAUUUCACCAGGGACUAUUUCAGCCUUGGGGACCCUCAGGUGCAGCCUGGUGACAAGAGUAUCCAAGGGAACAGAGG
ensembl:lncRNA